rnacentral:tRNA from 1 species
AGCGGCGUAGAGCAGCAGGUAGCUCGCCUGGCUCAUACCCAGGAGGACGCGGGUUCGAGUCCCGCCGCCGCCAC